rnacentral:rRNA from 1 species
ACAUAUUGUGAGCUUGAUGAGUAGGGCGGGACACGUGGUAUCCUGUCUGAAUAUGGGGGGACCAUCCUCCAAGGCUAAAUACUCCUGACUGACCGAUAGUGAACCAGUACCGUGAGGGAAAGGCGAAAAGAACCCCGGCGAGGGGAGUGAAAAAGAACCUGAAACCGUGUACGUACAAGCAGUGGGAGCACGCUUAGGCGUGUGACUGCGUACCUUUUGUAUAAUGGGUCAGCGACUUAUAUUCUGUAGCAAGGUUAACCGAAUAGGGGAGCCGAAGGGAAACCGAGUCUUAACUGGGCGUUAAGUUGCAGGGUAUAGACCCGAAACCCGGUGAUCUAGCCAUGGGCAGGUUGAAGGUUGGGUAACACUAACUGGAGGACCGAACCGACUAAUGUUGAAAAAUUAGCGGAUGACUUGUGGCUGGGGGUGAAAGGCCAAUCAAACCGGGAGAUAGCUGGUUCUCCCCGAAAGCUAUUUAGGUAGCGCCUCGUGAAUUCAUCUCCGGGGGUAGAGCACUGUUUCGGCAAGGGGGUCAUCCCGACUUACCAACCCGAUGCAAACUGCGAAUACCGGAGAAUGUUAUCACGGGAGACACACGGCGGGUGCUAACGUCCGUCGUGAAGAGGGAAACAACCCAGACCGCCAGCUAAGGUCCCAAAGUCAUGGUUAAGUGGGAAACGAUGUGGGAAGGCCCAGACAGCCAGGAUGUUGGCUUAGAAGCAGCCAUCAUUUAAAGAAAGCGUAAUAGCUCACUGGUCGAGUCGGCCUGCGCGGAAGAUGUAACGGGGCUAAACCAUGCACCGAAGCUGCGGCAGCGACGCUUAUGCGUUGUUGGGUAGGGGAGCGUUCUGUAAGCCUGCGAAGGUGUGCUGUGAGGCAUGCUGGAGGUAUCAGAAGUGCGAAUGCUGACAUAAGUAACGAUAAAGCGGGUGAAAAGCCCGCUCGCCGGAAGACCAAGGGUUCCUGUCCAACGUUAAUCGGGGCAGGGUGAGUCGACCCCUAAGGCGAGGCCGAAAGGCGUAGUCGAUGGGAAACAGGUUAAUAUUCCUGUACUUGGUGUUACUGCGAAGGGGGGACGGAGAAGGCUAUGUUGGCCGGGCGACGGUUGUCCCGGUUUAAGCGUGUAGGCUGGUUUUCCAGGCAAAUCCGGAAAAUCAAGGCUGAGGCGUGAUGACGAGGCACUACGGUGCUGAAGCAACAAAUGCCCUGCUUCCAGGAAAAGCCUCUAAGCAUCAGGUAACAUCAAAUCGUACCCCAAACCGACACAGGUGGUCAGGUAGAGAAUACCAAGGCGCUUGAGAGAACUCGGGUGAAGGAACUAGGCAAAAUGGUGCCGUAACUUCGGGAGAAGGCACGCUGAUAUGUAGGUGAAGUCCCUUGCGGAUGGAGCUGAAAUCAGUCGAAGAUACCAGCUGGCUGCAACUGUUUAUUAAAAACACAGCACUGUGCAAACACGAAAGUGGACGUAUACGGUGUGACGCCUGCCCGGUGCCGGAAGGUUAAUUGAUGGGGUCAGCGCAAGCGAAGCUCUUGAUCGAAGCCCCGGUAAACGGCGGCCGUAACUAUAACGGUCCUAAGGUAGCGAAAUUCCUUGUCGGGUAAGUUCCGACCUGCACGAAUGGCGUAAUGAUGGCCAGGCUGUCUCCACCCGAGACUCAGUGAAAUUGAACUCGCUGUGAAGAUGCAGUGUACCCGCGGCAAGACGGAAAGACCCCGUGAACCUUUACUAUAGCUUGACACUGAACAUUGAGCCUUGAUGUGUAGGAUAGGUGGGAGGCUUUGAAGUGUGGACGCCAGUCUGCAUGGAGCCGGCCUUGAAAUACCACCCUUUAAUGUUUGAUGUUCUAACGUGGACCCGUGAUCCGGGUUGCGGACAGUGUCUGGUGGGUAGUUUGACUGGGGCGGUCUCCUCCUAAAGAGUAACGGAGGAGCACGAAGGUUGGCUAAUCCUGGUCGGACAUCAGGAGGUUAGUGCAAUGGCAUAAGCCAGCUUGACUGCGAGCGUGACGGCGCGAGCAGGUGCGAAAGCAGGUCAUAGUGAUCCGGUGGUUCUGAAUGGAAGGGCCAUCGCUCAACGGAUAAAAGGUACUCCGGGGAUAACAGGCUGAUACCGCCCAAGAGUUCAUAUCGACGGCGGUGUUUGGCACCUCGAUGUCGGCUCAUCACAUCCUGGGGCUGAAGUAGGUCCCAAGGGUAUGGCUGUUCGCCAUUUAAAGUGGUACGCGAGCUGGGUUUAGAACGUCGUGAGACAGUUCGGUCCCUAUCUGCCGUGGGCGCUGGAGAACUGAGGGGGGCUGCUCCUAGUACGAGAGGACCGGAGUGGACGCAUCACUGGUGUUCGGGUUGUCAUGCCAAUGGCACUGCCCGGUAGCUAAAUGCGGAAGAGAUAAGUGCUGAAAGCAUCUAAGCACGAAACUUGCCCCGAGAUGAGUUCUCCCUGACCCUUUAAGGGUCCUGAAGGAACGUUGAAGACGACGACGUUGAUAGGCCGGGUGUGUAAGCGCAGCGAUGCGUUGAGCUAACCGGUACUAAUGAACCGUGAGGCUUAACCUUACAACGCCGAAG